ACAUUAAAAAAACAACUGUCGAAGUCAGACGAGUGUUGGUCGAGUCUACUGUCAACUACUGUGUUUGCGAUUGAGUGUUUUAGACAAGAAAUAUGCCCAGAUGCCCAGGAUAUUGAUUGCAGGGUACACCAAAUUUGGUCAACUUUCAUCAUGAGAUGCUAUAGUUCAGCUAUAGAGAGGACACAGAGAGUAAUUACAAAAAAAAAACGAAUUACUAAACUGCCAGUAGAUGUCCGACAGGAGCUUACGGACAGAAAGCGGCAGGCGCAAUUAGAUUUAGCAAUAAGGCCGCCUUUUGUCUCUAGUGUCUCGAUUUAUUUGUUUGGUACGUCAUUUUGUGCAAUCAAGUAUAUUGUAUUGCAAGACUGUAAUUUUAAAUUCUAAUAAAAAAUAUAUAUUUUUAAGGUCCGAAUGUUAAGUGCUUGGUAAAAAAUGUAAAUAAAACAAGCAUUCAAUUAUAAAUUGGUUUUAGUUCAUAUUAAUAAACCUUAAUUUUUCUACUGGUUUUCUU